UUAUUUGAGAGUUUGAUCCUGGCUCAGGAUGAACGCUGGCGGCGUGCCUAACACAUGCAAGUUGAGCGAUUUACUUCGGUAAAGAGCGGCGGACGGGUGAGUAACGCGUGGGUAACCUACCCUGUACACACGGAUAACAUACCGAAAGGUAUGCUAAUACGGGAUAAUAUAUUUGAGAGGCAUCUCUUAAAUAUCAAAGGUGAGCCGGUACAGGAUGGACCCGCGUCUGAUUAG
rnacentral:rRNA from 1 species